AAAAAAGACUUCUUAUUUUUCAGAGGCAUUUAGAAGUUAUCUCAGAAACAUGAAGAGAUUAACUUUGAUAGUACUGUGUUUUAGUUCUCAUACAAAAUUCCUAUCAAUUUAGAUUAAUUUGGUGACGCAAGUCAAAAUUAGCCACGGUUGAUCAAUAUUCUGCUAAUAUUACCACAGAAAGAAUUUUUUCCCCAUCAAUUUUAAAGAGUAUGUAUUUAAAAAUACAUGAGAUAUUUUUGAAAAUAUCAUCUAUCAACUUAUAAGUAAACAAGCUCUUUUAAACACUUGAGAUACUUGAAAACUAUGAAGUCCCUUAGCUAAAUGUAUCAAUGGUCGUGGCAGUUUUAUUUGUGCUAUUCAAGUUUUUUAACAAAUGCUGAAUUUCAAGUCACUAUUUUGGGAAAUGAUGAAUUUUGAAUCAAUAGAAAACUUGUAAUACUUUUCUUCUUAUUCUUUAAUGGACAUCAGCAGUAAGUCAGUCAAGUUGGCUUUCAAUAUUAGCAUUUCUAUAGAAAUUAACUAAGUAAAUUAGUUCUAUAAAAGUAAAGUACCUGAAGUUCCUGUCGUGGCUCAGCAGAAAUGAACCCGACUAGGAACCAUGAGGUCGCGGGUUCGAUCCCUGACCUCUCUCAGUGGGUUAAGGAUCCGACAUUGCUGUGAGCUGUGGUGAAGAUCGCAGAUGCGGCUUGGAUCUGGCAUUGCUGUGGCUGUGGUGUAGGCCGGCGGCUACAGCUCCGAUUGUCUAGACCCCCAGCCUGGGAACCUUCAUAUGCCGCAGGUGCAGCCCUAGAAGACAAAAAGACAAAAAAACAAAAAAAGUAAAGCAUCUUCCUGAGGCCAUUAUUUACCAUGAGAAUCUGCUAACUACUUAAAAGCAGCAAAGUGAAAUGAUAUUUCUCAGAAAAAUCCACAAGUUAGAGAAAUAGAAAGAAGAAACAAGACUUAAGGGUUGGAAAUGAUUUUUUUAAUGCUUAAUUUAUAUUUUUUUCUUUCCUUCUCUUCUUUUUUGGCCACCCCAUUGCAUAUGGAAGUUUCCAGGCCAAGGAUCAGAUCCCAGCCAUAGUUACAACCCACAUUGCACUUUGCAACAACAGGAUCCUUAACCCACUCUACCAGGCAGGUAUCGAACCUAUGUCCCAGCACUCCAAAGAGGCUGCUGAUCCCAUUGUGCCACAGUGAGAACUCCUAUAUUUUUUUCAAUAAAACAAAUAUAACCAUGUUGAAAACAUUAUAAAAAAAUUUAAGUAAUAAAUAUAUACUCCUCACUCUACAAUAUCAACUUAUUAUUUUGGUGUAUUUCAACAUAUCUAUAAUCAUACUGUAAAUUUUUUUCAUGUGUAAAUUUGUAUCUUUUUUAUUUUUACAAUCCUAAAAGUAAUAUAUGCUAUAAAUUUUAAUAGUAUAAAAAUACAUACUUUAAAAUUUACUUGACUGUUUUUAUCCCCUAAAUAUCCAAUAGCUUGACACAUAUGUUACACAAUUUUUUUCCAUAUAUGUUAGGACAUAUAUAUUUUUUCAAAAUGUUAUAAAAAAUAGAUAUUAUUGCAUUAUAACUAACUUUCUUCACCCAGCAAUAUAGGACAUCUCUCUCUGUCAGCACUUAUAAACCUGUCUUUUCCAAUAUAAUCACAUAACAUAUAAACUUUUGUUUGCCAAUUUUAGUCUAAGCAACUAUUAUUUUUAAUGACUGUAAUAUUCUACUAGAUGACAUAUAUUCUUUGUUUUCCCUUUUCGAGGCUAUGAGGUGUCAUAAAAAGACCAUGGACUUGGAGUUAGGCAGAUAUAUCUAUCUUUUGACCUACAGGACAUCCUCUGUGAAUUUGAAUGAGUCUUCUAUCUCUCUGAAUCUCAUUUACCUAUGGUCCUAAAUCUUUAGGUGGAAAUUAUGACAAAGCAAACAAACAAACAACAACAAAAAAAGAAAUACAACAAACACUACUAUUUUUACUAGGAUUAAAUGUGAAAAAACUGUAAAGUGCAUUCUCUUUUUAAAAACCUCUCCUGAUUUGUAAAGUAAAAAACUUUUUUCUCCAUCUUCUUGUUAUAAUUAUAUUUUCUAGGAUGAAACUUUUUUCCUCUCCGUUUACAGAGAACCAAAAACUUCAAGUGACUUACAGAUAGGGCUGAGAAUGUGUUCUUGAAGAAAUCUUGAGAUGUGCAUAUAUUCUGGAACAGAAGUAAAGUUUGCUCCAGAAAAUUUUAAAAGGAUUGACAGUUGUUUUGGCAAGGAAGCCACGGUGAAAAUUAUCCCCUUGAUUCAUAAUAGACACUGGUUCUGAGGAUAAAAUAGGAAGGCAGAGCUCAUGGAAUAAAGCCUGUUUCAAAGAACCAUAACCCAAGUUUUAUAAACAUUCCAGCGAAAUACACUCAGAGAAAUGAAAAACAGAUCAUUUCAACUUAUAUUGUAGCUGAUAGAAAUUAUUGAAAAUACAAAAUAGAUCUCAGAUUCAAAAUUCUAGCCAAAUUUUUGAUAAACCAGUGACAGUUUUGUUUUAAACUUUUGACUUAAGUAUACUUUAGAAAAUCCAGCAAGACACCACCUACCCCCAAAAUAAAAUCUGCAUCCUCUGCCAUGGAUGGAAGGUUACUCUUUAGAAAUGUUUUUGAACUAAAUGUGAUCAAGCAUUAAUGCAGUGUGCAGCGCUGCAGUGAAACCAGGUACAUUCAUCAGUCUACCCAUUUUUUAUGUUCCUUGGGGCCUUGUCAUUGUUAUUUUUAUUAAAGAAUUUGUGUCAUUAUACACCAAUGUUACUUUUUCCUUAGUGAGAUGUGAACAACAUGUAAAGAAUGCUUUAAAAGAGAAUGAAAUGUGCAAGACAAGUCACAUGUAAUUAGCAAAGAACUGUAGCUUAUAGCUAUUUUUUACAUGUUUACUAAAAUUAUGGUGAAAAUAUUUUUUCAACUAGAUAGAGAAAUAUUUUCUUUAAAAAAGAGAUACACUCACAUCAGCUAUAAGAUCACUGUAAAAAUAUUCCACAAAUGUGCCAGCAAUUAGAAUGUUAUACAUAUCUUAUUAGCAAAUCCCCCAAAUUCCUACGCAAAUAUGAGUCUUGCAAUUACCACUUUGAAAUAAAGAAAUAGAGUGAGUUUUGUUGAAUUAAUAAGAGUGUUUAGGGUUAUGUAUACUUAUUGAAUUAUUCAGCAAAUAUGAAAACUAAUUAAAUAUAAGCAUAAUUUAGGGAACCUUGGAAACAUGAUAAAAGUGCUUUAUAAAAUUAUUUUUUUAUUUCCUGUCACUCUAACAUGUUGUUUUAUUAUUUUGAACUGUGUCUUUAUUUUCCAUAGUUUUCUAAGACCCAUGUAUAGAUAAGGAGCAGAUUGGAAGUCUUUAUUUAUCACUUUGUAGCCAGCAGAGGGCAAUAGAGCAUUUUAUACUAAACACCCUCAGCCAAUUAAAACAUUCCAUAGGGAAGGUAUUUUUCCCUCGAAGACAAAGACACAAAAUAAAAUAUAAAAAGACCUAUUAUGAACUGCUAUUUCACCAACAUGUGGAUGUGUGUGUUGUUUGUUUUGAAUUAUGUGUUUGAUAAUUUACUACAACUGUAGUGAAUUUACAAUCUAAAUUUAAUCCAAGGGAACACACGUGAAAUAAGAAAUAUCUUAGUGGGUGGGAAAGGUUAUCCAGUCUUUGAAGGGAAUUUCAAAAACUACAAAUUCCCAAUAUUUGUAAAGAAGUUUCUACUAGGAGAUUCUUCCACCCAUUUUGCAGGCACAGGAUAGGAAGGGAGGGAACUAUCUCUGAGUUAAAAAAAAAUACCUCUCAUCUCAUUUAGGUUUUUGAUAUAAAUUGUUGCCCAACACUUAACGAAGCUUCAUGUUUUAAGCUCAUUUUAUUAUACUAUUAUAUUAAUUAUUGUCUCAUAAUAAUUUUGUGGACUAAUGAAAUCAACUUCUCAAAGAAUGUGUAAGGAUUAUGUAAUAUGCAAUAUAAGGAAAAUCUUGAUAAAAACCUAAUUUAAAUACAAAGUAAUAUUUUCUCUCAAGGUUAAAUUGGUUCUGAAGGGGUUUUUGUUCUCUUUACUAUGUAUUAGAAACUUAAUUUAUUCAAUGCAUCUCACUAUUAUAAUGUCAUGAAAAAAUAUCUCUGGACCGCCCAGGCUUAAUUGCUUCGCCGAUUCUAGAAGCUAUUGUUUCCCACCUUGUCUCAGCUACCCACUAAUAGAUAAGCAUUAGAGAACUCAUUGCAUAACACAAAUAUAGAAGGUAUUUAAUACCUUCCUUUCAUUCUCUUGGCUUUGCACCCUGUAUAAGCCAGGAUGUAUGUUUCUGAACUUGUAAUGAAAUAUUAUUCUAGACAGAUUUUAUCAUUUUGUCAGAGGACUAAAAUAGAAUACAUCUUUUAAAUUACAAAUUACUUUGGCUGAUUUUAAAGUUAUUCUCAUAGCAUUUAAGAGGAGAUAUACUGUGAGAAUAUGACAUUAAUAAUAUCUGAGCAUCAUUGGACCAUCACAUAUCCGAUAUACCAUGGUAACUUUAAUUUUAGAAUAUAGCCAUUGAGCUAUUCAAAAAUAGGUCUCCAUUAAUGUGCUAUUGUUUAAGAAUAUUGGUUUCUGGAGUUCCCGUAGUGGAACCUGACUAGCAUCCAUGAGGACGCGGGUUCGAUCCCUGGUCUGGCUCAGUGGGUUAAGGAUCUGGCAUUGCCGUGAGCUGUGCUGUAGGUUGCAGAGAUGGCUCAGAUCCCACGUUGCUAUGGCUCUGGCU
rnacentral:lncRNA from 1 species